GCCCGGUUAGCUCAAUUGGUCAGAGCGUCAGACUUUUAUCCUAAAGUCCAUCUGAAUGUUGCGAGUUCGAGUCUCGCAUCGGGCG